CAGCAGCCACGGUAAAACGAAGGGUGCAAGCGUUAAUCGGAAUUACUGGGCGUAAAGCGUGCGUAGGCGGUUUGUUAAGUCUGCUGUGAAAUCCCCGGGCUCAACCUGGGAAUGGCAGUGGAUACUGGCAAGCUAGAGUGUGUCAGAGGAUGGCGGAAUUCCCGGUGUAGCGGUGAAAUGCGUAGAGAUCGGGAGGAACAUCAGUGGCGAAGGCGGCCAUCUGGGACAACAUUGACGCUGAGGCACGAAAGCGUGGGGAGCAAACAGGAUUAGAUACCCCAGUAGUCCCUGUCUCUUAUAC
rnacentral:rRNA from 1 species